rnacentral:lncRNA from 1 species
UGGCGCUCAGCUUAAUUUUGUGAAGAAGUUAAUACCCUUCAUAGAAUGCAUGUUUAGGUAAGUCAAUGUUGGGCGAGAACCAACCUAAAACUCUUUGACUUAAGUCAAUGAUAGUGAAACGUGACAAAAAUAAAGUCUUCAAAUCGAUAGAUCUAAUAGUUCUUUGUGAGGACCUUUUUAAUCAAUUUAAUUGUCUCACUAUUUGACUCUCA